GGGUGGGCGCCGGAGUUGGAGAGCCGGGCUGGGCUGUAAACCCAGUGGCGUGAAGCCUGAGGGGGUUCGAAUCCCUCCCCACCCA
rfam:Bacterium JGI-4 isolate JGI-4 genome assembly, contig: JGI4_Kryptonium_JGI_4_Dewar_Creek_draft_1000016.2